rnacentral:lncRNA from 10 species
UAACCAAAUGCACCACCUGAUAUGGUUUGGAUCUGUGUUCCUGCCCAAAUCUCAUGUUCAGCUGUAAUCCCCAGUGUUGGAGAUGGGGCCUGGUGGGAGGUGACUGGAUCAUGGGGACAGAUUUCUCAUGAAUGGUUAAUGCCAUUCUUCAUGGUACUGUCCUCACAACAGUGAGUGAGUUCUCAUGUGAGCUGGUCAUUAGUGGCUCACACUUGUAAUCUCA